CCUACGGGCGGCAGCAGUGAGGAAUAUUGGUCAAUGGGCGCAAGCCUGAACCAGCCAAGUCGCGUGAGGGAUGACGGUCCUAUGGAUUGUAAACCUCUUUUUUCGGGGAGCAAGGCCCGCCACGUGUGGCGGGAAGGAGAGUACCCGAAGAAAAAGCAUCGGCUAACUCCGUGCCAGCAGCCGCGGUAAUACGGAGGGUGCAAGCGUUACUCGGAAUCACUGGGCGUAAAGAGCGCGUAGGCGGGCGGAUAAGUUAGAGGUGAAAUCCCGAGGCUCAACUUCGGAAUUGCCUCUGAUACUGUUCGGCUAGAGAGUAGUUGCGGUAGGCGGAAUGUCUGGUGUAGCGGUGAAAUGCUUAGAGAUUAUACAGAACACCGAUUGCGAAGGCAGCUUACCAAGCUACUUCUGACGUUGAGGCACGAAAGCGUGGGGAGCAAACAGGAUUAGAUACCCUUGUAGUC
rnacentral:rRNA from 1 species